UUACGGCCAUACCACCCUGAGAACGCCCGAUCUCGUCUGAUCUCGGAAGCUAAGCAGGGUCGGGCCUGGUUAGUACUUGGAUGGGAGACCGCCUGGGAAUACCAGGUGCUGUAAGCU
rnacentral:rRNA from 1 species